GAUGAACGCUGGCGGCGUGCCUAAUACAUGCAAGUCGAGCGAAUGGAUUAAGAGCUUGCUCUUAUGAAGUUAGCGGCGGACGGGUGAGUAACACGUGGGUAACCUGCCCAUAAGACUGGGAUAACUCCGGGAAACCGGGGCUAAUACCGGAUAACAUUUUGAACCGCAUGGUUCGAAAUUGAAAGGCGGCUCCGGCUGUCACUUAUGGAUGGACCCGCGUCGCAUUAGCUAGUUGGUGAGGUAACGGCUCACCAAGGCAACGAUGCGUAGCCGAGCUGAGAGGGUGAUCGGCCACACUGGGACUGAGACACGGCCCAGACUCCUACGGGAGGCAGCAGUAGGGAAUCUUCCGCAAUGGACGAAAGUCUGACGGAGCAACGCCGCGUGAGUGAUGAAGGCUUUCGGGUCGUAAAACUCUGUUGUUAGGGAAGAACAAGUGCUAGUCGAAUAAGCUGGCACCUUGACGGUACCUAACCAGAAAGCCACGGCUAACUACGUGCCAGCCGCCGCUGUAA
rnacentral:rRNA from 1 species